GAGGGUGCCACGCCCUGAGAAGUUAGUGGGCUACAGCUUUACCAUCAAAGGAAGUGUGGAGUGGGGAAAAAAACAACUUUCUUCUUCACUCUUGAGUAGAUGGCAUGCAUCCACCAUGAGCUCCUCCUCCAGGAAUUGCAGAUGCAUACUUAUUCUUGAACAUUCCGGGGCAAGAGAAGAAGACAUUCAUCACAUGAAAUACCACCCUGCAUGCUAUUAUCUCAUGUCUUUGACACAAAUGCUCAGCAAUGAGGGCAAUCAAGCAAAAUGUCAGUGUUCCGGAGAUGGUGGAGCCCUUCGCAUCCCCAGGUGAAAGGGGGAAUGAGACGGUCUCAGCAACAGGAUCCAAUCAAUUAGGAAGAAAACAUCCUCUUAACUAAGUUCUGUCCCAAGGAUUGACCUCCCCCAGAUGCUAAUCUUUGUUCGUCAAAGGAGUGGGCAGACUGCAGAGUCAAUUCCCUUUUCUAAAUGCAGGGGUGAGAUGAGGGAACUAUUGAUUUCUAUCAAA